GCCGCUCAACAUCAUCCUCCUCCUCGUCGCUGCAGUCGGCCGUCUCCGUCUCCGCCUCCCGCUCCAGGCGGAAGAAGGGCGUGCCGCGGCGGAGCACGGGCGAGGUGGGCAGCGAGCGGCAGCGGGCGGGCAGCAGCAGAGCAGGGUGGCGGUGAGAGUCGCUGCCUCACAGCGCCAGGGUCCCGGGUUCGAUCCUGACCUCGGGUGCUGCCAAUGGGCGGAGAUUGCACGUUCUCCCUGAGAGCUCAUGGGUUUCCACAAGGUGCUCCAGUUUCCACCAGCGUGGGCUUGUAGGUUAAUUGCCCUCCACACUUCACGCUGCCUCGGCAAGGCCGCCAGCAUCAUCAAGAACCAGCGUCAUCCCGGACGCUCCCUCUUCUCCACUGUCCCAUCAGAUGCUGCCCGACUCGCUGAGUUACUCCAGCUUUUUGUGUCUAUCUUCGGUGUAAACCAGCAUCUGCAGUUCCUUCCUAAGCGUACACUAGUACUAGACCACACACGGGGGGUGAUAUACAGAAGCCAAUUAACCUACAAACUCGCACGUCUUUGGGAUUCCUUGUAAAGUCUAUGUGACUUUUAGCACCUCCUCCAAGUUAAAGGUUGACCGUCUAAGUUGGCGGAUCUGUAGUGGAUCAGGAGCCUAUCGAGGGAAAUCUUCUGCUAGACCUAUCUAUGGAGGAUUUGCAGAUGCCCAGCUGUUGACGAGAACACAUUCAGGCUACUGAACCAUCCUCUCAUCAACUAGAGAGUGGCCCUGACCUUCCAUCAACCUCAUUGGCGACCCUCGGACUAUCUUUAAUCGAACUUUUCUGCACUUUAUCUUGCACUAAACGUCAUCCCUUUAUCCUGUGUUUGUACACUAUAGAUAGCUUAAUUGUAACCAUGUAGAGUCUUUUUGCUGACUGGAUAGAACACAACAAAACUUUACCUUGGUACACGUGACAAUAAUAACAAACUACAAUAAACGUUCCACUGCAUAAACCUGAUGUUACAAUUCUAAUUUCUAAACCUAUUACGGGUGCUGUCUGUACGAAGUUUGCACGUUCUCCCCCUGACCUGCGUGGAUAUUUUCCAGGAUCCCCAGUUCCCACCCACACUCCAAAGAUGUGCUGGUUUGUAGGUUGAUUGCCUUCUGUAAAUUGCUCCAAGAGUCGAGGAUGCUGAAGUGGGAUAAUGUAGAACUAGUUGGCGUGGAGUCAGUGGGCCGAAUGGCCUGUUUCCUUGCUGUAUCUGUAAACUAUCUAAAGUAGUCAAUGAUCCAUCCAUAGAUCUCGGCAGCACACUAGCGCAACGGUAGAGUUGAUGCCUCACAGCGCAAGAGACCCAGGUUCAAUCCCGACUAUGUGUGCUGUCUGUUUGGAGUUUGCCCGUUCUCUCCAUGAGCUGCGUGGGUUUUGUCCAGGUGCUGUAGUUUCCUCCCACACUCCAAAGACGUGCAGGUCUGUAGGCUAAUUGGCUUGGUAACAUUGUAAAUUGUCGUGUAGGGUAGAGAUGAUCGCUGGUCGCUGCAGACUCGCUGGGUCGAAGGGCCUGUUUUUGCAUUGUAUCUCUAAAACUGAAACUAAAAGAAACUAAACCAGGCAGAGGGAAGGUCACAGAGGGAGGGAGAGCAGGGAGUGAGAGGAGAGAGGGGGUGAAGCAGAGUGGAGGAAUG